ACGCUCGACACCUACGGGAGGUAGCAGUGGGGAAUAUUGCACAAUGGGGGAAACCCUGAUGCAGCGACGCCGCGUGGAGGAAGAAGGUCUUCGGAUUGUAAACUCCUGUUGUUGGGGAAAAAGAGGAUGGUACCCAACAAGGAAGUGACGGCUAACUACGUGCUAGCACGCCGACGGUAAUCUGAGGCGGGCUGGACAAGGC
rnacentral:rRNA from 1 species